CACUAUUGUUUGAUAAAUUGGUGGCAAAUAGCUGUGUGAGCUUCAUUUGGUCAGGUUCUUUCGACUGCAUGAUACAUGAGACAUGGAUUCCUAUGGAUUGUUCAAGUGCGUUCAGUGUUAACGGAUGGAAUACAGAAUAGCCUGGGCCACAAUGAGCAGAAGAAGUACAAUAUGGGCGACUGCAGGUACCUCCCCAGGGACACAGCUACUACCGUCACUGUUGAAAGAAUCACAGUUGUGCUGGAAGGUCCUUCCUGCUUGCUGUGUCUGCCUUCUCAUCUUAUUUAUGAUCGUUUAUGUGAAGAAGCAGCAGCAACUUGAUUUGUUUUCUUGUGUAGUAAUAUGUGAGUUGCAUUUGCAGACAUAUAUGGUUCAAGUCACUCUAUGUUAGUUAGAUGUUAUUAGUGUUUUUCUAUCAGACAUGGUUCUGCAAUGGGCUUGACUGCCUAAGUAUCACUCAGAUUUUAGACUUGAUUAAUAACUGCUUCCUUCCAUUAAGAUGUGAGGUCCUGAUCCCAAUGACAGAGCAUCAUCGCUGAACUAAUGUUCAUGAGAGUUUACUAUUUGAUUUUGUUGAACCGUCCAAGUUCAAAAUUUGAUGAAGCCAUGCAACUGGUAGAUGCUUCAACAAGGCAUAUAUUUGCAGUGUUCGGUUGAGGAGAACACAGAUGCACGGCCAGCUGCGUGGAUUAGGCGAUGGAACCAAUAACAGGAGAAAGGACGGAAAAUAGGAAGGAGAUGGUGAGUUUGGCAUUGGCCGUCGUCUGCAAAUGCGUCAUGGUCGGAUUAGGCCCAGCUAAUCAAUUCUUUUUGGGCAGCACUAGAGAAUUGACGAAUGCAUGUUGUACAAUUUUCUAUGAUCUUCUCUGAUUUUCUAACAAAUGUGAAAUGUUGAUGAACUAAUA